UACGUAGGGGGCAAGCGUUGUCCGGAAUCAUUGGGCGUAAAGCGCGCGUAGGCGGCCCGGUAAGUCCGUUGUGAAAGUCAAAGGCUCAACCUUUGAAUGCCGAUGGAUACUGCCGGGCUGGAGUCCGGAAGAGGCGAGUGGAAUUCCUGGUGUAGCGGUGGAAUGCGCAGAUAUCAGGAGGAACACCAGUGGCGAAGGCGGUGUUCUGGGCCAGUACUGACGCUGAGGCGCGAAAGCGUGGGGAGCGAACAGG
rnacentral:rRNA from 1 species